GUCGAGAGGCUUCGGCAAUGGGGGAAACCCUGACCGAGCGACGCCGCGUGGGUGAUGAAGUCCUUCGGGACGUAAAACCCUGUCAUAUGGGAUGAAAAGCUGAUCGGUGAAUACCCUAUCAGCUUGACAGUACCUUAAGAGGAAGCUCCGGCCAACUCCGUGCCAGCAGCCGCGGUAAUACGGGGGGAGCGAGCGUUAUUCGGAUUCACUGGGCGUAAAGGGUUCGUAGGCGGUCAGAUCAGUCAGGGGUGAAAUCCAACGGCUUAACCGUUGAACUGCCUCUGAAACAGUCUGACUUGAGGGCUGGAGAGGAAAGCGGAAUUCUUGGUGUAGCGGUGAAAUGCGUGGAUAUCAAGAGGAACACCCGUGGCGAAAGCGGCUUUCUGGCCAGCUUCUGACGCUGAGGAACGAAAGCUAGGGGAGCGAACGGGAUUAGAUACCCCGGUAGUCC
rnacentral:rRNA from 1 species